UCGCGCCACCCCGCCGUUGGGAGGGGGCUUCCUCCCCUUCGCCUUCCCCUCCGGCAGCACCCCCCGCUCCGAUUUCCCCCAGUGCCCUAACCCUAGAAGGCCUAAAGCACUCCGUCCAGCGGCGCCUCCCCGGUCCGAUUUCCCUAGGCCGGCCGACCAGGAAGGACGCCGCUCCCUGCUGGACGGUCGCUGCCCCCACCCUGCUAGACGCCAUCGCCCCCUCCAGGAACAGACAAGGUACGAUGCCGGAGACAUCACUGCCAUGAGCUCUGCACAGGAUCCCACUGUCCGGCUGCUGGAUGUCCAAGGCCGUCUUGGGAGCAGUGUAUCUCAUAGAUUGUUGUACCAAGGAUAUUGCAUGCUCAAACAUGAGG